rnacentral:rRNA from 1 species
UUCCGGUUGAUCCUGCCGGACCUGACUGCUAUCGGAUUGAUACUAAGCCAUGCGAGUCAUUGUAGCAAUACAAGGCAGACGGCUCAGUAACGCGUAGUCAAUCUACCCUAUGGACGGGAAUAACCUCGGGAAACUGAGAAUAAUGCCCGAUAGAACAUUAUGCCUGGAAUGGUUUAUGUUUCAAAUGAUUUAUCGCCAUAGGAUGGGACUGCGGCCUAUCAGUUUGUUGGUGAGGUAAUGGCCCACCAAGACUAUUACAGGUACGGGCUCUGAGAGGAGUAGCCCGGAGAUGGGUACUGAGACACGGACCCAGGCCCUAUGGGGCGCAGCAGGCGAGAAAACUUUGCAAUGUGCGAAAGCACGACAAGGUUAAUCCGAGUGGUUUCUGCUAAAGAAACCUUUUGUCAGUCCUAGAAACACUAACGAAUAAGGGGUGGGCAAGUUCUGGUGUCAGCCGCCGCGGUAAAACCAGCACCUCAAGUGGUCAGGAUGAUUAUUGGGCCUAAAGCAUCCGUAGCUCGUUUUGUAAGUUUUCGGUUAAAUCCAUGCGCUUAACGUAUGGGCUGCCGGGAAUACUGCAUAACUAGGAAGUGGGAGAGGUAGACGGUACUCGGGAGGAAGGGAUAAAAUCCUUUGAUCUCUUGAUGACCACCUGUGGCGAAGGCGGUCUACCAGAACACGUUCGACGGUGAGGGAUGAAAGCUGGGGGAGCAAACCGGAUUAGAUACCCGGGUAGUCCCAGCUGUAAACUAUGCAAACUCAGUGAUGCAUUGGCUUAUGGCCAAUGCAGUGCUGCAGGGAAGCCGUUAAGUUUGCCGCCUGGGAAGUACGUACGCAAGUAUGAAACUUAAAGGAUUGGCGGGG